rnacentral:ncRNA from 2 species
AGUAAAAGUCGUAACAAGGUU